AUGGAAUCUCACUGGGCAAGCUUAGGCAAGUCACAUUCUCUCACCCUCAGAGCAAUGCAAUGGAAACCUCACUCUAGCAUUUCACAACCUGAGAGCAGCACAGGAGAAGGCCCUCUCCUAUAUUCCAUCAAGCAGGUCUCUUUAGACAGUGCCAUGGGGGGCUGCCAAUAUGCAGGAAUGCAAUAACAGAACUGUGUUCACCUUUGAGAAUUCAAGGAAUCAAGUAAUUGGAUGAAAGCAAUGAAGAGUCGUUGUUUCUACACCAUUGCACAGUAUUCUUUGAUAUAUUUUUUUGUAAUAGAAGAAGGAAACAAAACCAUUUUCUUCCCACUGUCUUCUUUUUUCUUUUUUUUAAAAGUAUCCUUAGCUUGCCUGCACAUUUUGGGGUUAUGACAUUCUUGGCCCCACUUAACAAGACUCACAUUGUUGGGAUGGAAGGACAGCAGGAGAGAAUACAGAUGUUGAUUUCACCCAGUUUUUAAUGAAAUCAAGGCCCAAAAGGGCUCUAUAAACAGAGGAUUAUGUUUGGGAAACAGAAGAACUCAUUUCCUUUUGAUAGGUUGGAGAGAAUUUAACCAAUCUGUGUUUAUAAUUACUGCCUAGUUUAUUUAGUGUGAAAGAAUUGACUUGUUAUCCAUUUAUAAAUAAACAGGUUGAGAUCACUUUCGUACCCGGCAGCAGCCCUGUUACUGUUUAUUUCUCUCUUUUUCCUAACAUUCAUUUAAUGCCUAAACUGUGAUUUUGUUUAAUUCCACCAUAUUCUAGUAAUUUGGCUCCCCCAAAAUUAAAAGCCCUUGGACAAGUUUACAAAGUUUGAAAACCUUAUCAUUAUCAUUUCUAGUAAAACAAUUUGCCUCAUUCAAAAAAUAAACUGCUCUUAGUUAAAAAUAGCCUUGUGGCAGAGGGUGGGAAAUCUGCUGUCCACAUUUUGGGACUUGGUAAGUCACCAAAGAUAUCAUUUCUUUUGGCACAAACCUGAGUGAGCAAAGUUGCUACUGCUAGUUGAUCAUGAACCCAAAUCAAAUUAAUAGACUUUGCAGGCUGUAGCUCCUAUGAGGGCUGCCCCAGCUCAGUGCAGAAUUUACACUCAAACUAAGAGACAACAAUCUUAGCUUGAAGCUUCAACAUGGCAUCCUGGUUCAGAGGCACUUAAGACUGGCCAUUUGGGCUACUUAAAUUGUAAAUGGCUGUUUGGGCCACCUAACAAAUUACAUUUACCCUUACUAAGAAAAUCUAACACUUACUUGAACAUAAGGAAAGCUCCUCACCCUGAGUCUUUGAAAUAUUUGUGAAUCUGAAUUUUUAUAAAUCUACCUUGUCAAACAGAGAAGAAAUACUUAUAGCACAUGCUUUUGAAAAGAAACCAGUUCAAAUAUUGGUUGAAUAGUAAUUGCAACAGUGCGUGAGCCUGUCUGGGCCUUGUGUAUGUAUGCUAAAUUAAACAUGGGGGUGUACUACAGAAGUACCACCCUUAUAUUGCUGUUUAUACAGUACGACUCCUUUAUCUAUGAGGAAUAUAUUUCAGGAGUCUAUGUAAAUACGUGAAAGCACACGUAAUAGUGAACCCCAUUGAAUGAACAACAUCCAAAAGAAGCAUACCAUAGAGUCACUCCGGAGGGUCUAGGAAAUUCCCGGAGAGGACACCUCUAUAGGCAUCACUACAUUCUCCAUCAAAACUCUAUGGUCAACAUCCAGUAGCAUGCCAUAGAAUCACCAAGAGAAGAUCUAGAAAAUGCCUAGAGAGGACAUAUUUUGUCAGAUGUGGAUAAAUAAAACCACAAGUACUGGUCCCACAGAUAUGGUGGCAGGACUGUAGUGAGCUCCUCAGGUACAGAGUAGUUUUUCUGAAAGGGAGAACCUCACAGAUAGAUGAAAGUAUGCUCUUCAGC
rnacentral:lncRNA from 1 species